rnacentral:rRNA from 1 species
UACAGAGGGUGCAAGCGUUAAUCGGAAUUACUGGGCGUAAAGCGCACGUAGGCGGGUCGUUAAGUCAGGGGUGAAAUCCCGGAGCUCAACUCCGGAACUGCCUUUGAUACUGGCGACCUUGAGGCUGGAAGAGGUUAGUGGAAUUCCCAGUGUAGAGGUGAAAUUCGUAGAUAUUGGGAAGAACACCAGUGGCGAAGGCGGCUAACUGGUCCAGAUCUGACGCUGAGGUGCGAAAGCGUGGGGAGCAAACAGG